GCCGCAAUCGUCCAGUGGCAGGGCACCGCCGUGGUAAGGCGGGGACCGGCGUUCGAUUCGCCGUUGCGGCACCA
rnacentral:tRNA from 1 species